CAGUACUUCAUCGUCACUGGUGAAAUAUCCCAGGAGCUUGCACCAACUGUAAAACAUGAAGGCAUUUAAUUUGCUAUGUUUUUCUGCCCUGAUCAUCACAUGCUACGGAAAUUCAAACAAUUUGGUCAGAAUCGUUGACCUCACCCAGCCUUUAGACGCAAAUAAUCAGGGCAUCCUCGAAAGCAGCCUUCAGAAUAACAACAACCGUAGAUUUGGCUUUCUGCCACCAUACGGGGGUGCUGACGUACAAGCUGGUAUAAACAUCAACGCAAUUGAUCUUGGUCCUGGUGGCUAUCCACAACCUCCAAUGGCAUAUGGCAAUAUGUACCAGUAUCCCCCUCCCUAUUCUCAAUUAAUUGGCUAACGACCCCGUUUUACAAUAUAUUUGACUUUGUCUGACAAUA